rnacentral:rRNA from 1 species
GACGAGCGCUGGCGGCGUGCUUAACACAUGCAAGUCGAACGGAAAGGCCCUGCUUGCAGGGUACUCGAGCGGCGAACGGGUGAGUAACACGUGGGUGAUCUGCCCUGCACUUCGGGAUAAGCCUGGGAAACUGGGUCUAAUACCGGAUAUGACCUUCCAUGUAGUGUGGGGGGUGGAAAGAUUUAUCGGUGUGGGAUGAGCCCGCGGCCUAUCAGCUUGUUGGCGGGGUAAUGGCCUACCAAGGCGUCGACGGGUAGCCGGCCUGAGAGGGUGGACGGCCACAUUGGGACUGAGAUACGGCCCAGACUCCUACGGGAGGCAGCAGUGGGGAAUAUUGCACAAUGGGCGGAAGCCUUAUGCAGCGACGCCGCGUGGGGGAUGACGGCCUUCGGGUUGUAAACCUCUUUCGACAGGGACGAAGCUUCGGUGACGGUACCUGUAUAAGAAGCACCGGCUAACUACGUG